UUAGCUAUCCAUAGAUAUUAAUUAAUUUAAUGUUCUUAAUGUUUCACUGUGAUAUUGAAACUUAGUUUCAUGCUCUAGAUACUGUUUGGGAGCUCACCUUGCAAUUACCAAGCAUUGAUGCAUGCAUGCCAGUCUUGUUUAUUUUCGCAGCUCCUCUUUGCUUUUGAACUAGUAUUAAUUAAUUUGACAACCAGUUGAAUAAAAAUCAAUUUUAGCUCUGCUUUCUAUUUUGGUUUGCCACAAAAAACGUGUACAUGACUACUGAUCAUUUGAGAUAUAUUUUGUUAAGAGAGUUGGGAAACUAAUAUAUUCUACUUAUUGUAUUGUUCUCCACUGUAAUAUAGUGAGAUAUAUACAAUUUAGCUAUCUCUAAUUUGGGGUACAAUUUCUUUCUCCAUCCUUCUCUUACAUAUUUAAUUCACAGUAGUGCUGAACGACACAUCAGAAUUUUUGUUUGUACUCAAUUGUACGUAGAGCUCUUUGGCGAACCAUGUUUUAUUUCCCCAACCCAUUCAGCUUGCAGUCAUACUGUUGAAGGGUAUUAUUCUUGGCAAGACUGAUCUUUCAUGGUGCACUGCCAGUAAGUUUUCAUUCUAUCAUUUGUUGUUUGGUUAAUGGUUUAGUUAAUCUGUGAACAUUCUUGUUGUAUGGAGAGAAACAAUUUCACCCAAAACAAAACAAAAAAAAAGAAAAGAAAAAGAAGAAAAGAAAACUUCUGUCUCUUCUUUUUUUACCCCCUUCCUUGUAUUCGUACAAAUAAAUAUAUAUCGCUACUUAUAGAGCUAAUUAGAAAAUUGUAGUGGGUUUAGAUAGAUAACAUUAUUAUUUUGAGUAAUAAUUAAUGGUUUAGAGACCUUGAACUAUUAAGGGCAUCCCCAUUGCACAAGACUUUCCGCUUUGUGACGGUCUGGGAAGGGUCAUCUUUUUGUACGGCCUUACCCUUGCUUUACAAAGAGGCUGUUCUCAUAAUUUGAAUUUGUAACCUUCCAAUCAAGAGAACAACCUUAUGAUUGCUACCAGGGCUCACCAUCUCAAAAACCUUGAACCACUGUUAUUAAAUUAAAAGGUGUCAACAAUGUGAUUCACCAUUUUAACUAUUAUUAAUAGUGUUGGAAACAACUCCAGAUGAAGCUCCUUCUUCAAGCCCGUGCCAUCAAAGUAUUGCUUCAUCUGCCACAAACUCCUUUGGUGUCUCUCACACUCCAAAACUCCUUUGGCUUGGGCACAUCUGUCCUUGGAAUAUGCUUUAUCUCACUUGUGCCAACAGCUCGCACCUUCGACACCAUCCACGGUUUGCUUUCUUCAAAAGCAGCCUUUGGCUUAGGCCUCUACCGCUCUAAUGACCUCCACAACCAUGCCCUCCAGGGUCUUCACGUCGCAUGCCCUCUCAUGCUUGGCACCUUGGGUAGAUUGAAGCUCUCCCUUAAAUUGGUUGUUAAAAACGUGUGUGACUCAGCAUUCUUUAUUGGGUCUUUUAUAAAUAAAAUGGGCCAUGGGCCGUUGGUGUCUGCAGCCCAACAGCCCAAGCCCAAAAUCUUAUUUUUUAUCAUUUCUGUUAAUUCCAAUUUUGUCCCUUGGCCCGCAUAUAUAUUCUGAAGAUUUAGGAACAUUUUUGGCAAGAGAAGACUGAAAUUGCGAGAGGAGCAUCAGGAAAACCCUAACUCAUUUUUCCCUUUCUUCUUAUGUGAUUCACUGUAAAUUUGGGAGUUAGAUCCGUGAGGAUUGAGAGAUUGGGUGAUGCUCUGGGAUCCAAGAGCUUGUAUUCCUUGGUAAGUUCUUGUAAUCGUUAUAUCUCUGGUUGCACGGCAUAGUGGAUUGACUAUGGGCUCAGACCCCUGCCGUGAGUACGAUUCAAUUCGAAUCUGAACACAUAAGUUUCUGUGUUCUUGUGUGUAUGGGCGUGUUCUUUUAAUUUCUGUUGGCUUUCGCAUUUCCUUUCUGUUUGGUGUUGUUUCGUUGGAUUUGGCUUGUGCUCUUGUCCGCUAUUAUUUUCUGUUCAUUGUAUUUCUUGUUCUUGUUGGUUUUGUUUCGAUCUUGCAAGCAUUUGUUAAGGCGUACGAACAGCGAUCAACAGGUCGAGCUUUCUCCAACUUGUGGGGCUCUAGCGUCCCACAAUUUGCUUGACCUACUCUAUGAGAUAUGCCAUGCCUCCCUGUGGCAUCUUAAAGCAAGGACAUCUUCUUCUUAAGAGAUUUCACCCCAUUUUGCUCUUGGCCUACUACUGCCUCCAGUCUUAUUGCCUCCAAGGUUGGGGUCCCCCCUUCUUACGCGGUCCUUAUGGGGUGCAUCUUCCAUGCUAGUUCACACCCUUUGUGAGCCAUGCUUUGACACCACUCCUAACAGAAAUUUAGCUAAAUUUAGCUAUCCAUAGAUAUUUUUUGUUUCUUUUUUGCUGCACAGGUAUAUCUGGUACCAGUAGCCUGACAUAUCAUAUCAUUCUGUACAGUCUCUAAAUGCUCAAUCAAUUCAAGAGCAUUUCUUAUGCAAAAGUUGGAUCGCAGUGGUGAUGCCCCAAGUUACUCAAAGGCCUACAGAAGAUGGAGUCGAUAACGUCAACAUCGAAGCAGUUGCGGGCAACUCCAACAUGGAGAAGAUAAGAGUCGCUGGAAUGGCAAGAGACAGAGGAGGCCGGCACGAAUGUGGUUUAAGAAACGAACGGAGAUGGAUUUCUAGUGCGGCAUAGCUUUGCGAGUUACUUAAUACGUGAGUUCGGAUAAUUUCUUUUUAUAUAUCUUUAUUUGUGUUUCAUUGUUUUUAUAAAUUUUUUAUUAUUUUCCACUAUAUAGUGAUCGCCUUCCGCCAUAUACGAACAAAUUUGUGAAGAUUGCUUAUGCGUUUGCAAA